GGGAGAAUUCCCAAGCCAUGCAUUUUUAAUUCCCUAAGAAGCAGCAGCCAUUUCAGCGCCCGCCCCGAGCGCGGCCUUGGCGGCGCCGAGCGGCCCCAGAGGCUCCCUGGAUGUUCCCAUUCCCUGGAUGUUCCCGUUCCCGAAUUUCCGGGCUGGAGGUGGAUGAGGAGGGAGCGCUGUGAGCCCGGCCCGUGACUCUGCUGCCAGGGCCCCGGGCGGGCGCGGUGCCGCUGCGGGAGCGGGAGCGGAGCGGGCGCGGGC